CCGUCUGCGCCACUCGAGUUGCAUCAAGAAUAGUAUUUUACUUGCCUACAAGAUUUAGAAGACAAACUGAACCAUUAUAAACAGGAGACAAGGACCACAUUUGUUGUAAACAAAAAUGAUAAACCCUCUGGAUAGAAGGAUCUCGCAUCAUGAAAAAACUUGCAUUAAAAUAUGUUCCCUAUGAUGGAACCCCCUUCCUGGUGGUCGGUAGGAGAACCUACGCCUGCCACCACCAGGGCAAGGAUAAACAUGCGAGUCAUAAAAAGAGGGAAGCACAAAUGGUAAAUUGGCUAAUGUUUAUAAAGCACAAUAAAGGUGAUUAUGAUUGACUGAUAUUGGGAGAAGGGGAUGUCGUCAGGAAGAGAGAGGUUGAGAAGGGUAUGUGUUAGAAAGGGAAAACAGAAGAGAACCACAAGAUGCAGGACUCCUUGUUCCCCCAAUAUCUAAGAAAACAGAUGGAUACAGAGCUCCUCUUUCAUGUGAGAGAAUCAGACUUGGUUUCAGUCUUUUAACUUAAAGUAAGUAACAUGUAGCUAAGCCUUGGACAAAUAAUACUUGUCUGAGCAUGAAUGGCCCAUAUGGGCAGAAGCCUAUCUCCUGUUUCUGUCACGUAAGGCAGCUUGAUGUACAAGGAGCCUAGACCCCCUGGACAGGACAUUAGUUCCCUAAUUCCUUAAUGCUGAGAGCCAUGCAGAGAGGCAUCAGGUCCCAAGGUACUGGACUGAUGAACCAUCCUUGCUGUCUCUGCUUGAUCGACUCCCCACUCUCAACUGGGAUUCCAUACCACUGACUCUAUUGCGGGGGCUGAGUCCCUGGCUUGUUGCACUCAGUUUUUAUUUGCCUAGGGGCCAUGGUCAUCUUGUCUCAUCUGGUGUACUGUACUGUGUCUUUAUCUGAUGUACCUAAGCAUGCUCUCACUAACCCCCUUCUUUUGUCCUUUUCUACGUCUAAUAACUCCCGGAUGUGUCUGGCCCAAGCCUACCUGGACGUGCUGCUGAUCCUGGAUUGCAGCUAAGGACCCCUGGGCAUGCCUACCCAUAGCCCCUCCCCGCACACCCUAGCAUGCUUGUACCUAAGCUAAAUACUGAAUAUUCCAUCUCACCCUCUUCCUCUCCUCUUCUGUCCUCUCCUGUCUUAAGCCUAGUCCUGGACACAUAAACUAUUUUAUAUUGAAUUUAUAUUGAGCAUGCUUUUUUGUCCAGGACUAAGUGUAAUCUGAGUCUGGGAAACCAGCCCAUACUGUAGUAGACAAUGAGAUUAUUCCAGAAUACUAUCAAAAUAAAGAUUGUUUUCUAUGAUUA